UUUAUCAUCAGCAUUGAAAGGUAAGCGUAAUUUUCGUUUUUAUCCGAAAUUCUCUGACAAGAAAAACGAAAAACGCGAUAAAUAAUACCUAACCUUUGUCGAUAAGAUAAAGAUUUGAGUUCUAAGGAUAAGUUGAGCGGCGGACGGGUGAGUAACGCGUGGGUAACCUGCCCUAUACACAUGGAUAACAUACUGAAAAGUUUACUAAUACAUGAUAACGUAAUUUUUCGGCAUCGAAGAAUUAUCAAAGCGUUAGCGGUAUAGGAUGGACCCGCGUCUGAUUAGCUAGUUGGUGAGAUGACUGCCCACCAAGGCGACGAUCAGUAGCCGACCUGAGAGGGUGAUCGGCCACAUUGGAACUGAGACACGGUCCAAACUCCUACGGGAGGCAGCAGUGGGGAAUAUUGCACAAUGGGUGAAAGCCUGAUGCAGCAACGCCGCGUGAACGAUGAAGGUCUUCGGAUCGUAAAGUUCUGUUGCAGGGGAAGAUAAUGACGGUACCCUGUGAGGAAGCCCCGGCUAACUACGUGCCAGUAGACGCGGUAAUACGUAGGGGGCUAGCGUUAUCCGGAUUUACUGGGCGUAAAGGGUGCGUAGGUGGUCCAUCAAGUCGGUGGUUAAAGGCUACGGCUCAACCGUAGUAAGCCUCCGAAACUGUUGGACUUGAGU
rnacentral:rRNA from 1 species